AGGCUAUUUCUUGCUACUCUAAAGCUCAACUUCUAAGACCUGGAGAUCCCGUUAUCCUAAGCAAUAGAAGUGCAGCUUUCUCCAGGAAUAGCCAAAUUCUGAGAGAGAGAUCUGCUACUGCUUCAGAGUAUCAACCAUUGAAUGGGUUAGAUCCAACAACUCAUGCAGAGCUUGCAUUAAAGGAUGCUGAUAAAGUUUUAAGUAUUCGGACUAAUUCUCCCAAACCAUAUUUACUGAGGGCCAGGGCGCUGAUUUUGGU